UUUUGGUAAUAUAUAAAUACUUUUUUAAAAUGCCAGAGAACACUAGAGGAAAGAAUGAUACAAAAACCUCUGAAACAUUAAAAAAGUGAAACGUUAAUAUAUGCGGUAAAAGCGUUUUAGGCUACGGGAUUGAAAUUGGAUAGCUCAGCGUUAGGACUAGGUUGCGAGGUUGAGUUAUUACUGUUGGAAUACUGACCUCGCUUUGAGCGAUUAAAAAAUCCUCCACGGCCACGACCUCCGCGAUAAAAUCCUCGUCCACCUCGACCACGUUGACCACUUCCUUGGGAACGGUUGACAGAAGGGCGUUUUGAAGAUCCUCUGGUAUUGGAAUUUAAUUUGGGUGUUCCAUCUACGACUCCAUUGCUAGGAUCAGCUGCUUGAUACCAUUCUGGUGACAUUGAAUCCAAUUUUUGCUGCAUUUGUUUUUGUUCAACAACUUGAUUUUGCGUGGGAUAAAUAUUGGUCCCAUCUUUGCCCAAAACAUCUACUUCAACAUUUUCAGUAGGAACCUGAAGAGUAGAAUUAGCAGGAACAGAUGUUUCACUGGGGAGAGCGGGUUCCUCAACAUGCUGUCCUUCAAUUUCGCUCUCAUUUAAAAACUGAAUGCCACGGUUAAGUGGUCGAUUAGUUUGACGGGCUUCGUCAUCACUAAUACUCUGUUGCUCAAUGGGUUGACCAACUGCUUGCUCUGGUUGCUCCGCAUAAUCAUCUUCGAUAAGUUCCUCAGCCUGUUCACUAGGCAAAGGAGCAGCGAAAAAAUUAUCAACUCUAGAUGAAAUCGUCUGAAAGGACACUUCACUUUCAGGUACAACGUCUGUUGACGAGUCGUUCAAAUCAGCAACAGCUUUUUCAGAUUUCUCGGUACCCUCAUACACAAUCACCAAUAACUUUUCAACAGCUGAAUUGAAAGGCGCAUCAUCUGAAGGAUGAACACAAUUAUGGCUUGCAAAUCGUAGAAAACGGACCAAACUUGAGACUUGCUUUUGAGCGGUGUCAUAUCCUUCGCGGUAUUGUGCUUCAAUCUCUUCUUUCCUUUUAGCAUUUUCGGUCGCCUCAAACUGACGCUUGUGUUUUUCAUCACGGAUCCUUGUAGCAUCUAUUUGGCUUAACAACUCCUUCAACUCAUUCAAUGUCGUCAAUACAGCAUCUUUACCUUGUAAUGCUUUUCGUUGAUCAUCAUUGAGAGAAUUGGAAUCGCUAGCAGCUAUUUCUUCAAGCUUUAGAAUUUUUUGCUACAGAUUUAGUAAGUUUUAAC